AAAUAGAGCGUAUACAAUGAACGGGUUUAUAUUCCGCAUAUAUACUAUAUAUGUACACGAGUUAAUCCGCCAUCCGUAACACUGAGACAUUAAUGUACGUUUAAUCUGAAUACGUGUUAUAAUUCUUAUUGUUAAGGAUACUUCUUUUCUUAAUUUGUUCUUCAUACAAGUUUUAACUUUAAAAAUAAUUUUAUCCAUCAGUGUAUCAUUGUUUGUGGGCGACGUCAUUCAUUUUGAAUUGAAUCAAAGUAUGUACCACUUAAAGAUGGUUGGAGUGAGAUUAGUGUUGUAAAUUUAUACUGUGGGAUGGUUUAUACAAUUGUGAAUGAACAGUAAUAGAAAAAAAUGACAACAAGAGUUUUACCUUGAAUGCCGCAACAUAUUAUUGUCACUAACGGGUAUAUGAAUAUGAACUUAUUUUCCAGCCAGUAAAUUCAUAAAUUUUGAGGAAGAAUACUUAAUGAGGAGACAUUAACGAGUUCAAAGGAGGCCAGAACCCGUGACAUCAGUUCAGUCAAUACUUCAAUGGAUUCAAUACGUGAAUUGU
rnacentral:lncRNA from 1 species